AACGAACGCUGGCGGCGUGCCUGAGACAUGCAAGUCGUGGGAGAAAGUCGGAGCAAUCCGGCUAGUAAACCGGCGCACGGGUGAGUAACACGUGGACAACCUGCCUUGGAGUUCGGGAUAACCCGUCGAAAGACGGACUAAUACCGGAUAUGACCACGGAGAGUUCGCUCUCUGAAGGUAAAAGAUGGCCUCUGCUCCUGCAAGCUAUCUCUUCGAGAGGGGUCCGCGUCCUAUCAGCUAGUUGGUGAGAUAACGGCUCACCAAGGCUAAGACGGGUAGCUGGUCUGAGAGGAUGGUCAGCCACACUGGGACUGAGACACGGCCCAGAGUCCUACGGGAUGCAGCAGUCAGGAAUAUUGCGCAAUGGAGGAAACUCUGACGCAGCGACGCCG
rnacentral:rRNA from 1 species